rnacentral:rRNA from 1 species
UGGGGAAUUUUGGACAAUGGACGCAAGUCUGAUCCAGCCAUGCCGCGUGCGGGAAGAAGGCCUUCGGGUUGUAAACCGCUUUUGUCAGGGAAGAAAUCUUCUGGGUUAAUACCUCGGGAGGAUGACGGUACCUGAAGAAUAAGCACCGGCUAACUACGUGCCAGCAGCCGCGGUAAUACGUAGGGUGCAAGCGUUAAUCGGAAUUACUGGGCGUAAAGCGUGCGCAGGCGGUUAUGCAAGACAGGUGUGAAAUCCCCGACGCUCAACUUGGGAACUGCACUUGUGACUGCAUAGCUAGAGUACGGUAGAGGGAGUGGAAUUUCCGCGUGUAGCAGUGAAAUGCGUAGAUAUGCGGAGGAACACCGAUGGCGAAGGCAGCUCCCUGGACCUGUACUGACGCUCAUGCACGAAAA